rnacentral:lncRNA from 1 species
GUUUUUUUGCUUUUAUUUUUCGAUGGAGUUGAGAGACAGUUCUAAAUUGACAGCUAUGAAAAUUUGAAUGUGUGUCUAUAUAUGAAUUUUCUGUGUUUCAUUCAAGGUUAAUGUCUUCAUUUCGUUAUAAUAAUCAUGCUGUGGAUAACAUUCUUGGAUUCUGUUUCAAGAUUGUCAAAGUAGCUAACAUUUCUUUAUUGGUUUUACAUAAAGUUGAGAAAAGAGACUAAGAUCAUAAAUUACCAUAUUAUAAUAAAAUUCACUAACAGCUACGUGUAUAAUCUUUAUUCUAACCUAUAAAAUCUGUUUAAAUGGAUCUUGCAAGUAUUAACUCACAAUUCUUAUGAUAUUAUACUUGAGGGGAUAGACUUGGCAGGUUGUACUAAGCAUUCUUGGUUUCUAGCACAAUUUCUAUCCACAUUAUUUGGUAAAAUGACGUUAUGUUUAUUAGUAUGUGAGGAAAAGAAGUGGACUUUUUAAAGCGUAUUGUCAUGGUAAUAUCACCACAGGAGUUUUCAAGCAAAGUAUUAAAACAUCUAACAGUUGAAUGUUUUUAAGCAUACAUUGUCUCAUGGGGAAAAUCAUUUUUACAGUGAUCAUUUGA